rnacentral:misc_RNA from 1 species
CGCACAUUGCGCCCUUCGGUAUUCCGGAGGGCAUGCCCGUUCGAGCGUCAUUACACCACACAAGCCUGGCUUGGUAUUGGGCCCCGGGGGUGACCCGGGCCUGAAAGUCGUCGGCCGGACAGCCUGAAUCUCAGCGUCGUGGAAUCUUCAUCAAUCGCUGGUCGAGGACGGUAGCCGCGUCGGAAAUUGAUUAAUAUCUUCUUCAAAGGUUGACCUCGGAUCGGGUAGGGAUACCCGCUGAACUUAA